UCCAGACGUAAAUCAAGGAAGAGGACCAACAGGAACAGGAACAAGCAAGUGUGGACCGAGUCAGCUAAGAUGGUCACUGUAGUUCAUGGAGGUCAAGAUCACCAACUUAAGUCACCGUUUUUGACCAAGAAGGACGACCCAGGAAUGCCAAGCAUCUACUGCUCCAUAAAUGGAUACAACUUCUACAAGACGAUUUGCGACACCGGAUCGGGCGUCAACAUAAUGGCCGCAGUCACCUAUCGGCUCUUGUUCGGGACCAUGCCACUAAGACCAACAUACAUUCAGCUCCAGAUGGCAGAUCAGACAUUUCGAGAAGUUAAAGGAAUAGUAUCUGAUGUCCCAGUCAAAAUAGACGAUCACUUUGUCUACACAGACUUUCAAGUUGUUGACAUGGGAGAAGACGAGUAUGAUCCACCCAUCAUCCUUGGAAGACCGUUCCUCAGCACCGUUAAAGCGAUUAUCUACAUUGGAACCGCAGAAGUCCAUAUGCACUUCCCCUCAGAGAAGGUACGCCGUUAUUUUACUGACCCUGACUAUAUCGUUGAAGAAUCUAAGCAGGUCAGAAAGAGACGCAACCGCAACCAGAGGAGGCAGAUCAUCAAGGACGGAUGGGCAGACUAUGAAGGAGAAGUUGUAAGAUCAGAAGACGUUGAGUUUAAAUAGAAUUACCCAGAGGAGAUUGAAGCACCGAGUCAGGUAUGGAAAAUGAAGAUAACUAUACAAGAAGAGGAGGCACUGCCGGAAGUACCGACUACGCCACCCAACGAACCUCAGGACGAUUGAGAAAAUGGAGAGUCCCGUUCGGAGGACUUAAAAACACCGAACGCCUUGCCAAGAGGUAAACUUGGUAGUUACCCUUUCCCUUUCAGUUAUUUCAUAUAGUUUAUUUAGUUAAUCAUGCUUAUGCUGUCUUAAAAAGAAAAUAAAAAUAUGAAAAACAGUAAGCCCCAUGUGAGUAUACGAGUGGCAUAAAACCCAUAAGUACAUUCACUGUGGAGGCAUAAAAAUAAAAAUAAAUAUUUUUCUGCUUUAUAAAAUAAAAAUAUAAAAACAGGGAGUAAUAUUUAUUAAGGAGUCUCAAGAUAAUAAAGGCUAGAUAUUUAUGCUAACACUUAAUCUGUUCCACAAGCUUGUUGUCUAUUUGAGCUCCACAGAAUUUAAGAAUCAAGAAGACUAGCAGACGGAGGACAUUCUAAUCGCUGUCAGAAUGCUGCUGACUUUCAACUACACCUCUGCCACCUGCUAGCUACAUCAAGAGAAAUUACGUCAAAAUUCAGUUUGGGGGAGAGCACCCCCAUUUAUCCCGAUAAGUAUUUCUAUCUAUCUUUAUACUUAUACUAUAUUAGAAUAUUAAAAUACAUAAAGUAUGAAAAACCAAAUAAAGAUUAUAUAUAUAUAUAUCUUUUGCUUAGUGUGUUUAAUAAAUAACUAAAGUGGCUAUGCUAAUCUGUAUUUAAAUAAAACUCAAGCAUGGAUAUGAUAAAUAGUUGCUCUACCUAAUUUGCGAAUUUUAAAUUCUCUCUCAAGUUUAGAUAUAACUGUUAUAAUUUAAAGCUUGCCGUAGACCUAAACUUGUGGGAUGAAAACUUGAUCUGAAGUCUAAGUUGUUAACGGAUACGAUAUGGGAAGGUUGAGCUGCUGUUUAUCUGUUCCUAGAGAUGCUAGAAUUCUGGAGAAUUUUAUCUUUGAAAAUCUUUAAAAUGUUGCAUGAUGAGUUCCUGUAUGAUGAGAGCUUAAAUUCCUACCACAGCCAUAUAUACAUGCUUGCUAGAUUUUGAGCCACAUAUUUACUAUUUACUGCUUGUGAGCAUUGAGUGUGGUCAAGCUGUGUAGACCCUUAGGAGCUUGUCAUGUGGUUAAAUCAAGAUUUCACUUGCACGUUCACUCAUAUAUGCUACUUCUACUCCGGAAGUACCAUCCACAUAUAUCUACCCAUUCCAUCUCCAGAACCACCUAAAAAUAUUCUACUCCUAAUCCGGGAGAGAAUAACCAAAAAUAUUUCUGUUUUCCCCUUGUAAAAUAAAUGCUCAAGAUAUCUUGUUACUACCACUUGCUAUAUUAUCUCAAGAGAUGAAUGCUCUAAAAAAAGGAAUAAUACGAGGAAAUAAAAAGGAGCAAGUGCUCGGAACCUCGAAAGAAAAGAAAAAGUGAGACGAGAGGUAAAAAUGGACAAGUGUCCGACAGUAGAAUUAGGGGUGCAAGAUACCCACCUGAGAGAAAAGAAAAAGAAGAGCAUCUCAUUCUCCUCAUAAAGUUUCAAAAGCAAGGAAGGUAUGUAUCCCAUCAAAGAGCAAAAGUAGAAUUAGACUUCCACCACCAUUGUUUUCAUCAUUGUUAUCACCAUCAUCACCAUACACCAUUCAUUCGCCACACAUGCACAUCUUGAUUAAACUUAUUGACUUGUUACUUUGGAUCCAUGGUUUGGCUAUGCAAUAAAUGUCUUGUAAGUAUGUAUACUUUAUCUCCCACCUAUGAGCUCCAGAUAUUAAAGCCUUAUUAGAGUAGGGUGAGAGAAAAGGCAACGUAACUAUGCCUCAUACCACAAAUACCACAUAUAUUGAGAGAAGGCAUAUACCAUCACUGCCUUGGUAAGGAUCCAAAAAUACCACAAAAGAGAGACCUGAGAGAAUCAUACAAGGAAUCUCUGAGUUUUAUUUGAAAAUCUGCAAGAAACCCCAGAGCUAUAGCUGAUCAAGAAUAAGAGACAUGGCACUUGGCUAGACUAUUCUAUCUUUUAACCACUCAAGACAGAAGUGACGGUUACAAGUCCCAUGGUGGAGGUAAAGUAAGUAAGUUUUAAGUCUUGACAGUUUACUCUAACUGAGAGAUGAGAUCUUAUUUAAAAGCAUGUGUACCGUCAAAUUUUUAAAAGAUAUUGCAACUACUUCUGGUCCAUAGCUGAGUCUAUCCUUGCUCAGGGACGAGCAAGAGGUAAGCUUGGGGGAGUUUGUUGACGGUCCUUAAGUAUCAAAUUUAAUUAUCAAAUAAAUAAAGAAAAGGAUCCAAAUGAAAUCAAGAUCUAGACUUAGGGUUUUAUCUGACAGAAUUCCAUGAGUUUUGGUGUUUGUCUAUUUCUGCGGGGGGUUAUCAGGAAAUAUGGAAGAAAGGCCCACAUGUCAGGAUUACGUAAAGAUAUUAACGUGCUGCGCAAUUAUCUUACAUCUAGAAGACUCCAGAAGCCACAAGACUGAAGCGGAGGCGAAACGGGGCCAGACCCUGGGCGGCCGCCCAGUUGGUCAGGGCGCCCGCCCACCCCCUGUGUCCAAUCAGGACUCUGCUUUGCGGGAGAUCUCCACCGACCUAAAGGAUGAAUCUAAACCAUACAAUCUAUGUCGGUUUGAUCCAAGGGCCCAUAUUCACUUGAAGGGACUAUAAAACCAGACCCCCUGGCCCCUGGAGGAGAGAGCCUCUCAACCCUAAUUCAUUGUUUCAUCAAGGGAGAAGAAGCCUCUGAUCAAGAUUAGAGCCACAACAUCAAUUAGACAUCUAGAUUAGCAUAGCUACAUAGGAUUAGAACUAGAAGGAGUCAAUCUUCGAUUGGUUUCCGGAUCUGUCAAGAGGAUUCUUGGUAAUGCUCUAAUUGUGCUUCUAAUUACUUUCUAAUUAUCUUUGUUCUUCAAUAUUAUGAAUAUGACUUUGUUCUACUUCAAUAUAUUGCUUAUGACUUUGCUCUACUUGCUUAUAUUCAAGAUUAUAUUGUUCUUAGUUUAUCAUAGUUAUGUACUUGGCUUAGUUAGAUACGAUCUAUAUACAUGCUUAGGAUCGUAUAGCGUUUGUCCAUCGGAUCCAUGGGUAAAUGAUAGAUAUUGUGUAGGCGUGGUGCUUAUACCGUAUUUAUCUGCGAUUGUACCCAAUAUGCCAGAUCGUGGGGUAGUUCGUGAUAGUGACAGCUUCAUUGAUUCUUAUAUAGUCCCCCUCUCGUGUAUUGGGCUGGCAGAGCAACAUUAUUACAGGGGUGUGAUUGCUAUGUUUCUCAUAUUCCUUGCUAAUAUCACUAUGCAUGGGCGUAGUCUUGUCUCGCAAUGAUUGCUAAGUAUGCUUGCACUAACUAUGAUAAUGCUAGACUAUAUAGUUAAGAAUAACUUAGGGAAUAUUCUUGUAGUUCGUUCUAAUACCAUGCUAAUGACUUUCUAGAGUAUCUAAUUGAGGUGCUUAUCAUAUUUAUUAUGUGGCUAGAUCAGAUUAGUUAUCCUUGUCACUGUUAUUAUUUCAUAUAUCUUUUAUGUGACACUUAUCCCUGUAUGAAGAGUUAGAUAUAAUGUUCUCAAUUAUACAUGCAAUGAUAGAUGCUCAAUCUCAUAUUCUAUUCUGUAAUCAUUAGUGAUGAUUUCUAAUCCCUUCUCAGUGGUAAAAAUAUAAAUAACGAUACCUGGAAUACUUCCCGGUUAAAAUGCUGCAUCGGUAUUAAUCUGUGCACUUGCAGAUCCCAUUCAUUAUUUAUUUAGAAGAGCAAUUGCAUAUUUCAAUACCGCGUCUCUCAUAUCAUGCUGGGGAUGACAACUUGGCUUAAGUGGUGUGAGGGAUAGGUUUGGCAUUUUUGGCACCGUUACUAGAUUUAGAGAACUUAGUCUACUUUUGGUAAUGAUGUUAAGAAUACCCAACAGUAGACAUGUUGUCUGCAAAGCUAGACCUGCUCAUGAAGAAGCUCGAUGAUAGAGCUGGAGACAAGAAAGAAGUUAUGCACAUCUACGACUCUCACAUGACUUGUGAGGAGUGUGGAGACACUGGACACUCAGGCAACCACUGCCCUGAGAUACUUGAGGAUGUGAACUACAUCAACAACAACAACAACAACUACUACAACCGUCCUCAACAAAAUCAAGGUUGGAAUCAACAGAGGCCUAACUACUUAGGUAAUUAUCAAGGUAACAAUUCUUAUAACAACAAUAGUAAUUUUCCACCUUUGAGAGAGUUAGUGUCUAAUCAAGGAAAGCUAAUGGAUAACCUAUCUAAGAAAUUGGCAUCUAAUGAUAAAAUGCUAGAAAAUAUAAAUAAUAGAAUGGAUAAUUUUUCUACUGCCAUCAAGAAUCAAAUUAGCUUUAAUAAAAUGAUUGAAUCUCAGUUAAAUCAAAUAGCUGCUGCUGUUCCUACUACUAACCCCGGUAUACCAUCACAACCGGAAGGAUUAGAAUCUGCAAAUCUUGUAGACGUGUUUGAUGCAGGUAAUUGGAGUAACCCCGUCACUGAAUUUUCUACUGACCGUCUGCCGGUCAAGAGAGGCGAUCCAGGACGCCCCGUCAUCCCGAUCUCCAUCGGCAUGGUGGACUUCCCAGAAGCACUCUGUGACUUUGGCUCUAGCGUCAACAUUAUACCCAGGGUACUCUAUGAAAAAUUCUUUACAUAUCCUUUAUUAGAGACAACCAUGUGUUUGCAGUUUGUAGAUCAGACGAUAACUUUUCCAAAAGGAAUAGUGAAGAACCUUUGUGUCCGAGUUGGUACCUUAUAUGCCCCAGCAGACUUCGUAGUGGUAGAGACCGGAAAUGAUGAGAGAGCACCUAUCAUCCUAGGGAGGCAAUUCUUGAACACCACAGGAGCUAUCAUCUACGCCAGUGCUGCCAAGAUCAGUUUCUACGUCAAAGGGAAGAAGGAGACAUUUUUCUUCAAGAACAAGACUACACAAAUUCCAAAUCAAUCCAGACGUGAAUCAAGAAAGAGGACCAACAGGAGGAACAGGGACAAGCAAGUGUGGACCGAGUCAGCUAAGAUGGUCACUGUAGUUCAUGGAGGUCAAGAUCACCAACUUAAGUCACCGUUUUUGACCAAGAAGGACGACCCAGGAAUGCCAAGCAUCUACUGCUCCAUAAAUGGAUACAACUUCUACAAGACGAUUUGCGACACCGGAUCGGGCGUCAACAUAAUGGCCGCAGUCACUUAUCGGCUCUUGUUCGGGACCAUGCCACUAAGACCAACAUACAUUCAACUCCAGAUGGCAGAUCAGACAUUUCGAGAAGUUCAAGGAAUAGUAUCUGAUGUCCCAGUCAAAAUAGACGAUCACUUUGUCUACACAGACUUUCAAGUUGUUGACAUGGGAGAAGACGAGUAUGAUCCACCCAUCAUCCUUGGAAGACCGUUCCUCAGCACCGUUAAAGCAAUUAUCUACAUUGGAACUGGAGAAGUCCAUAUGCACUUCCCCUCAGAGAAGGUACGCCGUUAUUUUACUGACCCUAACUAUAUCAUUGAAGAAUCUAAGCAGGUAAGAAAGCGACGCAACCGCAACCAGAGGAGGCAGAUCAUCAAGGACGGAUGGGCAGACUAUGAAGGAGAUGUUGUAAGGUCAGAAGACAUAGAGUUUAAACAGAAUUAUCCAGAGGAGAUUGAAGCACCGAGUCAGGUAUGGAAAAUGAAGAUAACUGUACAAGAAGAGGAGGCGCUGCCGGAAGUACCGACUACGCCACCCAACGAACCUCAGGACGAUUAAGAAAAUGGAGAGUCCCGUUCGGAGGACUUAAAAACACCAACGCCUUGCCAAGAGGUAAACUUGGUAGUUAUCAUUUCCCUUUCAAUUAUUUCAAAUAGUUUACUUAGUUAAUCAUAUUCACACUAUCUUAAAAAGAAAAUAAAAAUGUUAAAAACAGUAAGCCCCAUGUGAGUAGACGAGUGGCAUGAAACCCAUAGGUACAUUCACUGUGGUGGCAUAAAAAUAAAAUAAAUAUUUUUCUGCUUUAUAAAAACAAAAAUAUAAAAACAGGGAGUAAUAAUUAUUAGGAGUCUCAACAUGAUAAAGGCUAGAUAUUUAUGCUAACACUUAAUCAGUUCCACAAGCUUUGUUGUCUAUUUGAGCUCCACAGAAUUUAAGAAUCAAGAAGACUAGCAGACGGAGGACAUCCUAAUCGCUGUCAGAAUGCUGCUGACUUUCAAAUACACCUCUGCCACCUGCUAGCUACACCAAGAGAAAUUACGUCAAAAUUCAGCUUGGGGGAGAGCACCCCCAUUUAUCUAGAUAAGUAUUUCUAUCUAUCUUUAUACUUAUAUUAUUUUAGAAUAUAAAUAACUAUGAAAAAACCAAAUAAACAUUUUAUGCUUAUAUAUAUGCCUUUUGCUUAGUGUGUUUAAUAAAUAAAUAAAGUGGCUAUGCUAAUCUGUAUCUAAAUAAAACUUAAGCAUGGAUAUGAUAAAUAGUUGCUCUGCCUAAUUUGCAAAUUUUAAGUUCUCUCUCAAGUUUAGAUAUAACUGUUAUAAUUUAAAUAUUGCUCUAGACCUAAACUUGUGGGAUGAAAACUUGAUCUGAAGUCUAAGUUGUUAACGGAUAUGAUAUGGGAAGGUUGAGCUGCUGUUUAUCUGUUCCUAGAGAUGCUAGAAUUCUGGAGAAUUUUAUCUUUGAAAAUCUUUAAAAUCUUGCAUGAUGAGUUCCUGUAUGAUGAGAGCUUAAAUUCCUACCACAGCCAUAUAUGCAUGCUUGCUAGACUUUGAGCCACACAUUUAUUAUUUACUGCUUAUGAGCAUUAAGUGUGGUCAAGCUGUGUAGACCCUUAGGAGCUUGUCUUGUGGUUAAAUCAAGAUUUCACUUGCACGUCCACUCAUAUAUGCUACUUCUACUCCGGAAGUACCAUCCACAUAUAUCCAUCCAUUUCCAUCUCCAGAAUCACCCAAAAAUAUUCUACUCCUAAUCCGGGAGAGAAUAACCAAAAAUAUUUCUGUUUUUCCCUUGUGAAAUAAAUGCUCAAGUUAUCUUGUUACUACCACUUGCUAUAUUAUCUCAUGAGAUGAGUGCUCUAAAAAAAAGAGAUACGAGGAAAUAAAAAGGAGCAAGUGCUCGGAACCUCGAAAGAAAAAAAAAGAAAAGAAAAAGUGAGACGAGAGGUAAAAAUGGACAAGUGUCCGACAGUAGAAUUAGGGGUACAAGAUACCCACCUGAGAGACAAGAAAAAGAUAGAGCAUCUCAUUCUCAUCAUAAAGUUUCAAAAGCAAGGAAGGUAUGUAUCCCCUCAAAAGAGCAAAGUAGAAUUAGACUUCCACCCCCAUUGUUUCCACCAUUGUUAUCACCAUACACCAUUCAUUCGCCACACAUGCACAUUUUGAUUUGGCUUAUUGAUUUGUUUCUUUGGAUCCAUGGUUUGACUAUGCAAUAAAUGUCUUGUAAGUAUGUAUACUUUAUCUCCCACCUAUGAACUCCAGAUAUUAAAGCCUUAUUAGAGUAGGGUGAGAGAAAAGGCAAUGUCACUAUGCCUCAUACCACAAAUACUACAUAUCUUGAGAGAAGGCAUAUACCAUCAAUGCCUUGGUAAGGAUCCAAAAAUACCACAAAAGAGAGACCUGAGAGAAUCAUACAAGGAAUUUCUGAGUUUUAUUUGAAAAUCUGCAAAAACUCUAGAGCUAUAGCUGAUCAAGAAUAAGAGACAUAGCACUUGGCUAGACUAUUCUAUCUUUUAACUACUCAAGACAGAAGUGACAGUUACAAGUCCCAUGGUGAAGGUAAAGUAAGUAAGUUUUAAGUCUCGACAGUUUACUCUCACUCAGAGAUGAGAUCUUAUUUAAAAAGCAUGUGUACCGUCAAAUUUUAAAGAUAUUGCAACUACUUCUGGUCCAUAGCUGAGUCUAUCCUUGCUCAGGGACGAGCAAGAGGUAAGCUUGGGGGAGUUUGUUGACGGUCCUUAAGUAUCAAAUUUAAUUAUCAAAUAAAUAAAGAAAAGGAUCCAAAUGAAAUCAAGAUCUAGACUUAGGGUUUUAUCUGACAGAAUUCCACGAGUUUUGGUGUUUGUCUAUUUCUGCAGGGGGUUAUCAGGAAAUACGGAAGAAAGGCCCACAUGUCAGGAUUACGUAAAGAUAUUAACGUGCUGCGCAAUUAUCUUACAUCUAGAAGACUCCAGAAGCCACGAGACCGAAGCGGAGGCGAAACAGGGCCAGAGGCAGGGCGCCCGCCCUGUCCUACUGGGCGCCCGCCCCCUGUUGGAGUCCAAACAGGACUCUGCUUUGCGGCAAGUCUCCACCGACCUAAAGGAUGAAUCUAAACCAUACAAUCUAUGUCGGUUUGAUCCAAGGGCCCAUAUUCACUUGAAGGGACUAUAAAACCAGACCCCCUGGCCCCUGGAGGAGAGAGCCUCUCGACCCUAAUUUAUUGUUCCAUCAAGGGAGAAGAAGCCUCU
rnacentral:lncRNA from 1 species